UAGUAAUGGCAGGUCAGCAUACUGCCGUGAAUACGUUCCCGGGCCCUUGUACACACCGCCCGUCCACACCAUGAGAGUUGGGAAUACCCGAAGCCUGUGAGCUAACUUAUAGAGGCAGCAGUCGAAGGUAGAAUCAAUGAUUGGGGUGAAGUCGUAACAAGGUAUC
rnacentral:rRNA from 1 species